rnacentral:tRNA from 1 species
GGGGCAUUGGUGAAACGGCAAUCACGGAAGACUGUCGAUCUUCAGUUAGGGGUUCGAUUCCCCUAUGCCCCGCAA